CCUANGGGGGGCAGCAGUCGAGGAUAUUCGACAAUGGGCGAAAGCCUGAUCGAGCGACGCCGCGUGAACGAAGAAGGACUUCGGUUUGUAAAGUUCUUUUCUAGGGGAGGAAUCCGCAAGGAUGACAGUACCUUAGGAAUAAGGGGGUGCAAAUUCUGUGCACAGCAGCCGCGGUAAUACAGAACCCCCAAGCGUUAUCCGGAUUUAUUGGGCGUAAAGGGUCCGUAGGUGGUUAAGUUAGUCUAAGGUUAAAUACUUCAGGCUCAACCUGGAGGAUGCUUUAGAUACGGCUUAACUUGAGGGCAUUAGGGGCUUAUAGAACGGUCGGUGUAGGGGUGAAAUCCGUUGAUAUCGACCGGAAUACCAAAAGCGAAGGCAUUAAGCUGGGGUGACCCUGACACUGAGGGACGAAAGCGUGGGGAGCAAAAAGGAUUAGAUACCCCANUANUC
rnacentral:rRNA from 1 species